UGUCCUGGAUAGAUUCUGCAGUUUAGUUCACCGUACACCCUUUUAUGCAGGUUUUUGCAAAGCUACCGAUUAGCACUGGCAAACUAAACCACAAGCGGGUGUGUGCUCGGGCGGCAGGAGGACGAGAAAAUCUCAGCAGAAGCUACAGCUGGUCUAGGCUCYGGGGGUGCAGCUCUUCCUGACUGGCUUCCUCCUGUGAACAAGAAGAAAGGGUGACCUGCAAUGUCAGCAAGCUACCAAGAAGUCUAGCAACACUCAGGAGAGAGGCAAGAUGUGCAUGAUACUAAGAUAUCUUCCCACAUUCCUUCAGAAAUCAGAACAAGCCUGCCUGUCUAUUAAAGAUCCAGUACACUUUUAGCUACAAUACACUGAUGAAUGCACAUUAAAGCUUCAGAUGAAUCUUCAGGAGAGAUUCAUCCUUUACWAGCACCUUCACAGAAAUGCUGUGGCAAAGCAAAUGUGCAAGCAAACACUUGCAAAAGAUUUUGGCCAUGCUCACAUGAGAAGCAGGAGCUCCCAAAACACUUUUUCAGAUGGGACAGGAUCACAAGACUACUCUGCAAAAGGGAGGCUUCUUUCGGACUCGRCUAUGUCACUUCAUGCUGUUUGGCUGUUCUCAUUAUUGAAGCCACAAAACCAUGAAGUAAUGACAUGGCUCCCACAUGCCUUGCUGCAUUUGGCUUUAAUGCUGAAGACCCAAAAUGCACUGAUUGACUCAAUAUGGGCAGACUUCGGCAAAAGUCACAAUUGURCAGUGAGAUGCUACAAGCAUCUCACAAGCUGACAACCUUCCACCACAUGUGUGAUAAUCAAUCCACAAGCAAGAUGUUAAGAUCACARUCCAUGACAGCCAUGAGCUGCUCUUGCUGGAAGGACAGUUUGAUCUUUUUUUUAAUGUCUGAGGAUGAASAGUCACAAAGCAACUGAAGACAGGCAAAUUUGAUGCACUGCCACAGGAUUGAGGKUGGCCUCAAAGAAGCCAGAAGGUGUGUUUAAAGGUACCAUGGUUAACUGAGGGGACAUGAAAGCAAGAUGUUUUGUGUCAUUUUGCUUGAACAGAAAAGGUUUGAUCAUACAAAAUGCUGACCCUGCCCAAGCCUUUUUGUCUUAUGUCACUGGAGAUUGGAAAAACAAAGAUGAUACCAGGCCCUUKCACCCAGCAGGGCUGGGCACCCGAUCUGAAGCUGGUUCAAAUGCAUGGUGGAGGUUUCCAACCUUGCUAACAUCAUCCAGUGGUUCGCCCAGCAGAUCCUUCCUCUUCAGCUCUUUUCUUUCUGGCACAUCAAGCUUGUUCACCACUGCAUCARUCUUGGAGCCAAUGCUGUUUGUGGACUGUUCCAGCUGCAGCACACGAUGAAGGAGGCUGAGGGAGACAYGAAGAGCAUUUGAAAGCUUUUCUUUGUGAUGAAUAGUAGGAUUUGCAGCAGACAUCUCCCAGAGACCUCAAAUAGAGGUCAUGCUUCAUCUGCUGUUGCUCCUCUUCAUCAAGGAURAGGUUGCCAUCUUUGUCAAAUCUGGAGAAAGCUGCUGUGAUCUCAUGGUCUGCAUGGCCCAGUCUGCAAAAGAUUAAAAAGAGAAAGCUCAAAAAAUUGCACUGUUAAGUUCUAACAGAGUGAGAAUUUUGAAAUCAGUAUAUUAUUUCCUCCUGCUAGUGACAAAUGUAAACACCCCAAAUGGGCAGGAGACAGUAACGCAAACSUAUUUAGAACAGGAGAUUAAACAUUUGAGGAAAGAUUUUUUAGUCUUAAGUUGCCCAGGUCUGAGCUAACUGCUCUCCUUGUCUUGAAAAGCAGAAAAUUUAAAUUACCCAUGUUGCUAAGAGAAAGGACAGUGGGCAUCCCUCAAACUGACUCACUCACUCCUUCAAGCUGUUCUUGAAGUCCUCAAAGUCUAGUUGUUUUGUUCCAUUCUGCAGGGCUUUCUGAACAUCAGAAAUUUGCUCCUUCUUCAGCUUCAGCCUCAUGAGUGUCCGGUUAUAACUCUGUUACCAAAGAUACAGACACAGAACCGUGCACAUAGAAGGGUGAAAAGCAGAGCAGAGAGGGCAAUGCAACACAGGUAAGAUGAACAAGGCAUAGGAGAAGAAAUCUUAGGACUCUCUACUUUCUUAGGGAUUUGCAAACUUAUCUGCUGCCCUUUCCAGAGUUUAAACCCUCAGAAUGACCAACUAGAAGAGUUAAGCAGUGAGAGAGGACCAUUGGAUGAUACAAUUUAACAUCUUCGGUAAAAGCUUUAGUUCUCGGACAAAAUUUCUGAAGGAAAUUGUAUUUCUCAGAAUAAAGCUGAGGAUACAUAUUUUGAAUUUCUGCUGUGAAGAUAUGAAGRCACAGAGACCACCCUAUUUUCCCAAGUGAAAAGCUCCAGGUAAGUUUUCAUCUACCAAGAAACCCCAAGAGAAACAGGCUCUAACAUCCACAAACAUGUUGUUUCACCUCUUCAGUACUCCUUCCUUCAGAAGGAUAUCCAACAUGGUGAUCACAAAGAGCAUGUCCUACUCUUGAAAGGACACCAGGAAAAUAAAGCACCUGAUAUUGAAGACAAAUCCCCCCAACAGCUCCUGGCUUCUAUUUUCCAUGUGCUACACCAAGGUGAUUAAAUGGAAAGGAAAGGGGGAGCGCCAACAAUGGAGAAGCAGUGAAAAAUGAUGAGCARCAAGUAAAGAUGCAAAGGAAGGAGGCAGAUUCUUCAAAGAAAAUGUCCCCACUUCUGUGAGGCUCAGAGGCCUUUGGAUUCCCAGCUUUGGUGUUUCCUCCAGCCUUAUUUACCACCCUUCACUACUUCAACAGUUAGAAGAAGAGAAUGCUGYAGUGUCCUGACRGUUAUCUUAUUUGCAUGCUCCAAGYUCAACUCUGGCAGCUCACAAAUGGAAAUUUGGUGUUAAAGAAUGGAUAUGUUUUUUUUUUCUAUUUUAAGCCUACAAAAUUGCCUAGAAGAAAGCACUUCAGAAUAAACCUUACACUGCCUAUGAGUAAUCUGUAAUUACCUACCAARCCCACUCAGCACUGCUCCUUGCGCCCAGGAGAGAUCUCUAAAGCCUCUGCUCUGAAUUCUAUGUGAAUUAGUAAUGUUAGACUGCAGUGACAAUGACAAAAGUAUUGAUCAUAUAGAGGCUGUGCCAUUCAGGACCAAGCUAUACUGUUAC